AACCUGUAUCAUAAACAUUGGGUUGUGUUAUACUGUUUGUGUAUCUAUCUCAAGUUGAGAUGAAAGAUUCAGCAAAUUCUCUUUUCUCAAAAGCAUAUGAAACAGCUUCAAAUGAAUAAAAAAAAACAGGCUUACAUGACAAAUCCAUAGGUUGAAACUUACAAAACUUUAAUUAAAUAAAAGCAACAAGAAUAAUUUUAACUUUGAAUCACAACAUUGAAUUCAUAGUAAAUAGAUUCAUAAAGACAAACUAGUAAUGUUAAAACCAAAUCUUUAGACACGCUAAUCUGGCAUUACUUCAUAUACUAUUUUAUGACUUAUUACAUGUUCAAUAUUUCUAGACACAAGCUGUGAUGUCACAAAUUUUUGAAUCUACACCCAGCAGUACUCAAAGAUUAGCGAGUGAAUGAUACAAUUUCAACUGAGUUUUUUUUUGC